AUAUCAAUAAGCGGAGGAAAAGAAACCAACAGGGAUUGCCCCAGUAACGGCGAGUGAAGCGGCAACAGCUCAAAUUUGAAAUCUGGCCCCUCGGGGUCCGAGUUGUAAUUUGUAGAGGAUGCUUUUGGUGAGGUGCCGCCCGAGUUCCCUGGAACGGGACGCCACAGAGGGUGAGAGCCCCGUCUGGCUGGCCACCGAGCCUCUGUAAAGCUCCUUCGACGAGUCGAGUAGUUUGGGAAUGCUGCUCAAAAUGGGAGGUAUAUGUCUUCUAAAGCUAAAUAUUGGCCAGAGACCGAUAGCGCACAAGUAGAGUGAUCGAAAGAUGAAAAGCACCUUGAAAAGAGGGUUAAAUAGUACGUGAAAUUGUUGAAAGGGAAGCGCUUGUGACCAGACUUGGGCGCGGCGGAUCAUCCGGGGUUCUCUCCGGUGCACUUCGCCGCGUCUAGGCCAGCAUCAGUUCGUCGCGGGGGAAAAAGGCUUCGGGAACGUGGCUCCUCCGGGAGUGUUAUAGCCCGUUGCAUAAUACCCUGCGGUGGACUGAGGACCGCGCAUCUGCAAGGAUGCUGGCGUAAUGGUCACCAGCGAC
rnacentral:rRNA from 1 species